GACGAACCGAGCGAACGUUGUUCGGAAUCACUGGGCUUAAAGGGCGCGUAGGUGGGCUGUCAAGUCUGGGGUGAAAUCCCGCGGCUCAACCGUGGAACUGCCUCAGAUACUGACGGCCUCGAGGGAGGUAGGGGCGAGCGGAACUGUGAGUGGAGCGGUGAAAUGCGUUGAUAUUCACAGGAACUCCGGUGGCGAAGGCGGCUCGCUGGACCUUUUCUGACGCUGAGGCGCGAAAGCUAGGGGAGCAAACGGG
rnacentral:rRNA from 1 species